rnacentral:rRNA from 1 species
AACGAACGCUGGUGGCAUGCCUAAUACAUGCAAGUCGAACGAGAAAGCUCUUCGGAGUGAGUAGAGUGGCGCACGGGUGAGUAACACGUAGGUGACCUACCCUUUUGUGGGGAAUAACAGAGAGAAAUUUCUGCUAAUACCGCAUAAGGUACACGAUUUUGAAAGUAGUGUAGAAAGGGGGCGCAAGCUCUCGCAGAAGGAAGGGCCUGCGGAUCAUUAGCUUGUUGGUGGGGUAAUGGCCUACCAAGGCGACGAUGAUUAGCUGGUCUGAGAGGAUGAUCAGUCACACUGGAACUGAGACACGGUCCAG